ACGGAAGGCAGCAGUGGGGAAUAUUGGGCAAUGGGGGAAACCCUGACCCAGCAACGCCGCGUGAAGGAAUAAGGCCUUCGGGUUGUAAACUUCUUUUAGUAGGGACGAAGACAUGACGGUACCUACAGAAAAAGCAACGGCUAACUACGUGCCAGCAGCCGCGGUAAUACGUAGGUUGCAAGCGUUGUCCGGAUUUACUGGGUGUAAAGGGCGUGUAGGCGGAGCUGCAAGUCAGAUGUGAAAUCCCGGGGCUUAACCCCGGAACUGCAUUUGAAACUGGAGCCCUUGAGUAUCGGAGAGGCAAGCGGAAUUCCUAGUGUAGCGGUGAAAUGCGUAGAUAUUAGGAGGAACACCAGUGGCGAAGGCGGCUUGCUGGACGACAACUGACGCUGAGGCACGAAAGCGUGGGGAUCGAACAGGAUUAGAUACCCUGGUA
rnacentral:rRNA from 1 species